rnacentral:rRNA from 1 species
GACAGAGGUGCCAAGCGUUGUCCGGAAUCAUUGGGCGUAAAGAGCGUGUAGGCGGCUCGGUAAGUCCGCUGUGAAAGUCCAGGGCUCAACCCUGGAAUGCCGGUGGAAACUGUCGAGCUAGAGUCCGGAAGAGGCGAGUGGAAUUCCUGGUGUAGCGGUGAAAUGCGCAGAUAUCAGGAGGAACACCAAUGGCGAAGGCAGCUCGCUGGGACGGUACUGACGCUGAGACGCGAAAGCGUGGGGAGCAAACAGG